rnacentral:rRNA from 1 species
UACGAAGGGGGCUAGCGUUGCUCGGAAUCACUGGGCGUAAAGGGCGCGUAGGCGGCCAUUCAAGUCGGAGGUGAAAGCCCAGGGCUCAACCCUGGAAUUGCCUUUAAGACUGCAUCGCUUGAAUCAUGGAGAGGUGAGUGGAAUUCCGAGUGUAGAGGUGAAAUUCGUAGAUAUUCGGAAGAACACCAGUGGCGAAGGCGACUCACUGGACAUGUAUUGACGCUGAGGUGCGAAAGCGUGGGGAGCAAACAGG